UCCACAGUAGCUCAAUGGCAGAGCAACCGGCUGUUAACCGGUAGGUUCCUGGUUCGAGUCCAGGCUGUGGAG
rnacentral:tRNA from 2 species